rnacentral:rRNA from 1 species
AACGAACGCUGGCGGCAUGCCUAACACAUGCAAGUCGAACGAGACCUUCGGGUCUAGUGGCGCACGGGUGCGUAACGCGUGGGAAUCUGCCCCUCGGUUCGGAAUAACAGUGAGAAAUUACUGCUAAUACCGGGUGAUGACUUCGGUCCAAAGAUUUAUCGCCGAGGGAUGAGCCCGCGUAGGAUUAGGUAGUUGGUGGGGUAAUGGCCUACCAAGCCGACGAUCCUUAGCUGGUCUGAGAGGAUGAUCAGCCACACUGGGACUGAGACACGGCCCAGACUCCUACGGGAGGCAGCAGUGGGGAAUAUUGGACAAUGGGCGAAAGCCUGAUCCAGCAAUGCCGCGUGAGUGAUGAAGGCCUUAGGGUUGUAAAGCUCUUUUACCAGGGAUGAUAAUGACAGUACCUGGAGAAUAAGCUCCGGCUAACUCCGUGCCAGCCGCCGCCGUAAAAC